CCUGAGUUGUUGCUAAGGUGAUGCUAUGCGGUUGCUAGGGUAUCUGGGAUGGUUGCUAGGGUGUUGCUAUGCGGUUGCUAGGGUACCCGGAGUGGUUGCUAGGGUGUUGCUAUGCGGUUGCUAGGGUAUCUGGGAUGGUUGCUAGGGUGUUGCUAUGCGGUUGCUAGGGUACCCUGAGUGGUUGCUAAGGUGUUGCUAUGCGGUUGCUAGGGUAUCUGGGAUGGUUGCUAGGGUGUUGCUAUGCGGUUGCUAGGGUACCCCGAGUGGUUGCUAAGGUGUUGCUAUGCGGUUGCUAGGGUAUCUGGGAUGGUUGCUAGGGUGUUGCUAUGCGGUUGCUAGGGUACCCUGAGUGGUUGCUAAGGUGUUGCUAUGCGGUUGCUAGGGUAUCUGGGAUGGUUGCUAGGGUGUUGCUAUGCGGUUGCUAGGGUAUCUGGGAUGGUUGCUAGGGUGUUGCUAUGCGGUUGCUAGGGUACUCUGAGUGGUUGCUAAGGUGUUGCUAUGCGGUUGCUAGGGUAUCUGGGAUGGUUGCUAGGGUGUUGCUAUGCGGUUGCUAGGGUACCCUGAGUGGUUGCUAAGGUGUUGCUAUGCGGUUGCUAGGGUACCUGAGAUGGUUGCUAGGGUGUUGCUAUGCGGUUGCUAGGGUACCCUGAGUGGUU